UUUCAUGAAAACAUUACCACAAGCCUUUAUUGUAGUGCUUGAGCUCAUAUAUCACUUAGCAUGCUUUGUGGAAAACACUGCAUUGUAGAUACCUGUGAUUGGUAUUUAAAGUGCCUUUUUCAUUUGUUUUGUAUUAAUGAUUACUGCCUCAAAUAGUCAUGAGCUAUUUCUAUUGUAAUUUAGUUGGGCAAGCCUGUAAUGAUAAAGUAGAUUGUUUGUGUGCAUGUACUUGUAUUUUAGGAUGCAGAGGUGAUGGCUCAGACUGGUUUGCGUACUUCUAGUAUGAUUCAUACUAUGUAAAUAAUAUGGGUGUACAUGACAAUGUAUUAUGGUUGUGCAUGGUCACACUCAUAUAUGAGAUGAACAAGUCAAGUAGAUCUAGCUAAAGAGUAAUGAUUCAUGAUAAGACACUAACGGUUAUUUGGAUUUGUAA